GUGCUAGCUUUAGCAGCACAUAUACUAAAAUUGGAACGACACAGAGAAGAUUAGCAUGGCGCUAAAUUCGAGAAGCGUUCCUCAUAAUAAAAAAGAUGUUAUGCAUUUUU